UAUGUAGAUCUGCAUUUCUGAUCUAUAUCAUUUUUCUUCUUUCUAAAGAACUUCUUUUAACAUUUCUUCCAAAGCAGGUUUCUACUGAGAUAUUUUCAAGCUCAGAGAUUCCUUCCUCAGCCACAUCCAGUCUACUAUUAAGCCCAUCAAACAUUCCUCACAUGUUACAGUGUUUUUAUCUCUAACAUUUCUUUUUUUUCCUCAAAUAUCCAUAUCUUUGCUCACAUUGACCAUCUGUUCUUGUAUACUGACUACUUUAUCCAUUAGAGCCCCUAGCAUAUUAAUCAUAGUUGUUUUAAAUUCUCAGUCUGAUAAUUCUAACAUCCCUGCCAUAUUUAAAUGAUUGUGAUAGUUCCUCUAUCUCUUCAAUCUGUGUUUUAUGCCUUUUAGUAUGCCUUGUAAUUUUUUCUUGAUAGCUGAAUAUGCUGUACUGGGUGAAAGCAACUGCUGUAAAUGGGCCUUUAGUAAUGCGGUGGUAAGGUGUAGGGGAAGGGGAGGCAUUUUAUAGUCUUAGAUUAGAUCUCAGUUAACUUCAAGUGGGUUUUUGCUUUGCUUUUCGACUGUGAACUUCACAGGUUCUUUUCAGUCCCCCCACCCCACUUAGGUGGGACACGACGGCUGGAGUGGGCUGGGGUUGGGCACUUCUCUUUACCCAGGUCAAUUAAGCUCUGAUAAAACCCGAGCAGGUCCAGCUGUGAUUAGUGUAUCUUGAAUGCAGCCCUUGUUAAGAAGAACAGAAUGCUCUGGUGCCUUUCAAAAUUUUUCCUUUUCCCUUCUCUCUGUGGGAAGCACAAGGAGAUUCUCUAAGAAAAAAACCAGUUAAAGCUCCUGGAGGUAAAACUUAUAAAAUGAAGCCCUCCUAUGACAGGAUGCCCCUCGAGUUUCUAACUCUCAGAGUUACCCACACUGAGCCUCAAGCAAUUCAUCAAUUACAGUUUGGAUUUUUCUACCACUAACACUGCUUUCUAAAAAGAUUUCAGCUCAUGGGUUUUUGCUCUGGUAAAUUGUAAUUCUCUGUAUUUACCAAUCUGUCUUUCCAACUGGGGACAGCAGUUUGCUCUGUGACCUCACUUCUCUUGUGGAUCCAAGAAGAGCUGUUAAGUUUUCAGUUUGCUCAGACUUUUACUUGUUUUUGGGUGGAGUGGCAAUUUCUAAGCUUCUGGGCCAGAAACCAGAAGCCACAUGAACUUUUAAAAUCUCUUAAAUUUCUCAAAGUGAAAAAUAAAUUAUUUUACAAAAAUACAAAGUAGGCUUUAUUUAUAAAUUUUAACAUUUUUCAAUUUACAUAUUUUAUAACUGAAAACAUUUAAACAAAGAGAGUUUAUGUCAUUCAUAUCUGUCCCUCUCCAGAGGAGAGUUAUAGUUAAUUUAGAAUGAUAUUUGCACCUUAGUGGCAAAGACGGCUUUGACAAAAUACCAAUGAGGCCAUGCAAUUCUGUUUUUGUUUUUGUUUUCAGACGAGUCUCGCUCAGUCGCCCAGGCUGGAGAGCAGUGGCGCAAUCUGGGCUCACUGCAAGCUCCGCCUCCCAGGUUCAAUCCAUUCUCCUGCCUCAGCCUCCCGAGUAGCUGGGACUACAGGCACCUGCCACUACGCUGGGCUAAUUUUUUUGGCAAUACUGUUUUUGUUUUUGUUUGUAUGGUUUUUAGAUUUCAACAAUGUUUUAUUAUGACUGUCAGUAGAAAAUAUAUAGUCAGUUCUGCUAUAACAUGAUACAUGCCUUUCUAGGAAUCAUUGCACUGUACAAAUCACACAAUAAAAUUCACAGUUUAUGGGAAAAGUAGGAUGAGGGGCAUAACACUAAAAACUUCAUCAGUGACAUUUUUUUUAAAAAAGAUAAAAACUUAAUAAAAAUGGUAGCACAGGCUUACUCAUGUUAAAUGGUACUACAUAUUAUAAUAGUAUAUAUUAAUACUUAGUGAUUUGAUACCUAAUACUGCAUACUGCAUAGUAACAGAAGUAUGACCUGUUACCUUGAAAACAAGGUUGUAUGCAAUGCUUUUUGACACCACUGGGAGGCCUAAAAUAUCAGCAAAGGAGAAAUAAGAGAAAGAAGAGAAAUUAUGGGACUGAGAAGAGAAAGAGGCCAGGCAGAGAGAACAACAGGACGCAGGUUUCCCAUGUCUAAAGUUGCCCACCACACCCUGAGCUGUGUUUACACAUAGAAGUAAUUUGUGAUCCAGGGCAAACAGCAAUCACAGUGCACACAGAAGACUAGCAGAGUUUGGAGCAAGGAUGAGAGCACAACAAAGGGGCUAAAGGGACAGCCUUGGAGAAGGAGAUGUUAUGAGAUUUUUCUGACCCUAAAUUGGGAGAACAAGCUGAUUACGAAUGUGACUUUAUUACCUGGAAAAGGCUGCAUAACUGAACUGUAAGCCAAGAUAUGCC
rnacentral:lncRNA from 10 species